rnacentral:ncRNA from 1 species
AUGUUUAUUCCGUACGCGGUCGAUCUUUCGACCUGUGCCCAGGCAGCCGAUGGUCUUCAAGGCUGCGCUGCGUGUCAUCGCAGUGACUCAUCGCCAGUCCGCUUCGCAUCGCUUGCCGCGGACGCUCAUCCGCACCGGAUGACGAUGC